GCCCCGGUAGCUCAGGAGGAUAGAGCGUCCGCCUCCUAAGCGGAAGGCCGCCCGUUCGAGUCGGGCCCGGGGCGCCA
rnacentral:tRNA from 1 species